GAUGAACGCUAGCGGGAGGCUUAACACAUGCAAGUCGAGCGGCAAGGUUUUCGGACCCUAGAGCGGCGCACGGGUGAGUAACGCGUAUGCAACCUGCCUUUUACUGGGGGAUAGCCCGGAGAAAUUCGGAUUAAUAACCCAUGUGACUAUUUAGCUGCAUGGCUGGAUGGUUAAAGAUUUAUCGGUAAAAGAUGGGCAUGCGUGACAUUAGAUUGUUGGCGGGGUAACGGCCCACCAAGUCUGCGAUGUCUAGGGGUUCUGAGAGGAUGAUCCCCCACACUGGUACUGGGACACGGACCAGACUCCUACGGGAGGCAGCAGUGAGGAAUAUUGGUCAAUGGGCGCAAGCCUGAACCAGCCAUCCCGCGUGAAGGAUGAAUGUACUAUGUAUUGUAAACUUCUUUUCUGCAAAGAGAAAUUGCCCUACGUGUAGGGUAUUGACGGUAUUGCAGGAAUAAGCAUCAGCUAACUCCGUGCCAGCCGCCGCAGUAAGAC
rnacentral:rRNA from 1 species